GUUUAGGGGUAAACCUGAGAAACCCGAAAGGUCGAAGGGAGAAAUUCAUUCGCGUUUCGCCGUUGGCGUGAAACGGUCGUGUGACGGGAUGCGUUCGCGUGUUCCGCGCCUUCCGUUUUUCGAUCCGAUAGCGAACGCGUGCACUUUUCUCCUGGUAGGACGUCGCGAUCCGUUGGGUGUCGGUCUACGGCUCGCGGUGGAGCCCGGAUGUACGGCUUGCCGUUACGUCCGGACCCGCGUGUCCCGGCUGACUCGCUCGACGGUAUACGAAAGGUUCAAGGCCGCUCUUUGAGCGUUCGACUCGUCGCAAGCGCGUCAGAUGUGUCGGCGAUCGGACCUAGUGCCGGUUCUGACCUCUGAUGACUGUUGGCGGCGAAUGUCUCGAACAGACUUUAAACCGAUCUGCGACGCUAUAGCUUUGGGUAAUUUCAGGACCCGUCUUGAAACACGGACCAAGGAGUCUAGCAUGUGCGCGAGUCAUUGGGAAUCACUAAACCUAAAGGCGCAAUGAAAGUAAAGGUCCGCCUUGCGCGGACUGAGGGAGGACGAGCGGUUUACCCUUAAAAGUGGCCGCUCCGCACUCCCGGGGCGUCUCAUUCUCAUCGCGAGAAGAGGCGCACCAAGAGCGUACACGCUGGGACCCGAAAGAUGGUGAACUAUGCCUGGUCAGGACGAAGUCAGGGGAAACCCUGAUGGAGGUCCGUAGCGAUUCUGACGUGCAAAUCGAUCGUCGGAACUGGGUAUAGGGGCGAAAGACUA
rnacentral:rRNA from 1 species